UCUCUUGGAGCUCUAGCUCACCUCUCUGGUGUUGUUCUUGUAUUCAUCUGAUUAAUCUAGUUCUUGCUAGUUCUUCUUGAACUUCUUGGUAGAUAUUAAGUCUAUAUUCUGUGUCCGUGACAAUAUCUUAGAUUCAAGGUAAUAGUAAAAUAUGUUGGAAUAUCUUAUAUGUUGGCACAAUUAUGAUAUUAGUGAAUUGAUGUGAGAGCCAUCUAAGAAGCUUGCAAAUGUAAUAAAGAAGAUUGAUGCUUUUUAUUAACAACUUCC
rnacentral:lncRNA from 1 species